rnacentral:rRNA from 1 species
GACGAACCGAGCGAACGUUGUUCGGAAUCACUGGGCUUAAAGGGCGCGUAGGCGGGCUGCCAAGUCCGGGGUGAAAUCCUCCGGCUUAACCGGAGAAUGGCCUCGGAUACUGGCGGCCUGGAGGGGGGUAGGGGCGUGCGGAACUGUGGGUGGAGCGGUGAAAUGCGUUGAGAUCCACAGGAACUCCGGUGGCGAAGGCGGCACGCUGGACCCUUUCUGACGCUGAGGCGCGAAAGCCAGGGGAGCGAACGGG